GAGUCUCGCUCUGUCGCCCAGGCUGGAGUGCAGUGGUGCCAUCUCGGCUGACUGCAAGCUCUGCCUCCCAGGUUCACGCCAUUCUCCUGCCUCAGCCUCCUGAGUAGCUGGGACUACAGGUGCCUGCCACCAUGCCCGGCUAAUUUUUUUGUAUUUUUUUUUUUUGUAGAGAUGGGGUUUCACUGUGUUAGCCAGGAUGGUCUCGAUCUCCUUGCCUUGGCCUCCCAAAGUGCUGGGAUUACAGGCGUGAGCCACUGUGCCUGGCCUUUUUUUUUUUUUUAAGACAGUCUCGCUCUGUCGUGCCCAGGCUGAAGUACAGUGGCGCGAUCUCAGCUUACUGCAACCUCUGCCUUCUGGGUUGAAGCUAUUCCCCUGCCUCAGCCUCCAGAGUAGCUGGGAUUACAGGCACCCACCACCAGGCCUGGCUAAUUUUUUGUAUAUUUUAGUAGAGGUGGGGUUUCACCAUGUUGGUCAGGCUGGUCUCAAACUCCUGACUGCAGGUGAUCCGCCCCCCUCGGCCUCCCAAAGUGCUGGGAUUACAGGCAUGAGCCACCACGCCUGGCCUGUUUAAGACAGGGUCUUGCUGUGUCACCCAGGCUGGAAUGCAGUGGUGUGAUCACGGCUUUCUGCAGCACCUACCCCCCAGGCCCAAGCAAUCCUCCUAGCUCAGCCUCCCAAGUAACUGGGAUUACAGGUGUGCAGCACCACGCCCAGCUAAUUUUUAUUUUUUAUUUUUGUAGGAAGAGGUCUCCCUGUUGUCCAGGCUGGUCAUGAACUCCCGGGGCUCAAGCAGUUCUCCAGUCUCAGCCUCCUGAAGUGCUGGGAUUAUAGGCGUGAGCCACCACGCCAGGCCCCUAACUCUCAUUUUAAAUGGCUGUGUAAUGUGGAUGAUGACAGCACCUACCUCAAGGGGCUGCUGUGAGGACUAAAUGGCCAGAAAGGGAAAACAGAGCCGAGUUUGGCCACUGGGGCCUCCACAGCCCUCUGGAAGAAGGGGCUGACUGAUAGGAAGGCACUCCUCUGGUGUUCACUGGCCAGACCCCUGUGGGCUCAGAAGACUACCUAGACCCCAUGAAGAAAGACUCUAGACACAUUUUUAUAAUCAGAAACUUACAGUUUAUUGUGAAUAAACCACUCAACUUUGAGCAGA